rnacentral:rRNA from 1 species
UACGUAGGGUGCGAGCGUUAAUCGGAAUUACUGGGCGUAAAGCGUGCGCAGGCGGCUUGUCAAGACAGGUGUGAAAUCCCCGGGCUCAACCUGGGAAUUGCGCUUGUAACUAGCAGGCUAGAGUGUGGCAGAGGGGGGUGGAAUUCCACGUGUAGCAGUGAAAUGCGUAGAUAUGUGGAGGAACACCGAUGGCGAAGGCAGCCCCCUGGGCUAACACUGACGCUCAGGCACGAAAGCGUGGGGAGCAAACAGG